rnacentral:rRNA from 1 species
GUACACGCUGUGACUAGCAUAUCAAUAAGCGGAGGAAAAGAAACUAACAAGGAUUCCCCUAGUAACGGCGAGUGAAGCGGGAAGAGCUCAAAUUUGAAAUCUUAAAGGGUUUCCCUUUACGAAUUGUAGUUUAAAGAAGUGUUUUCUGUUGAGGUUUUGGUAAAAGUUCUUUGGAAUAGGACAUCAUAGAGGGUGAGAAUCCCGUAUUUGACCUUUACUUUCAACUUUGUGAUACACUUUCAAAGAGUCGGAUUGUUUGGGAAUGCAGUCCAAAAUGGGUGGUAAAUUUCAUCUAAAGCUAAAUAUUGGCGAGAGACCGAUAGCGAACAAGUACCGUGAGGGAAAGAUGAAAAGAACUUUGAAAAGUAGAGUUAAACAGUACGUGAAAUUGUCAAAAGGGAAGCGUUUGACACCAGUGUUGUUUCUCUGAAAAUCAAUUAAAGAACUGUUUAUGCUAAGUUGUUUAGACUUUAUCAGCUAACUGUUUAGUUUUGAGCUUUUCUUUAAUGCACUUUUCAGUUAACAAGUCAACAUCAAUUUCUUUUGCUGUAAAGAAGCUUGAGGAAGGUGGCUUGAGAUUCGUCUUAAGUGUUUAUAGCCUCUUGCCUAUGCAGUCGGAGAGAUUGAGGUCUGCAGCGUAGAUCCUUCGGGGCUAAAUGCAUUUGUGCUAAGUUAUAGCAUUUUAUAGACAACUUGUUGACUAUGAUUUGUCUUGUAGCUUACUCGCUUAUGUUAUUUUACCUACGCUUAGGAUGUUGAAGAUGUAGCACAUCAU